rnacentral:rRNA from 1 species
AUUGAACGCUGGCGGCAGGCCUAACACAUGCAAGUCGAACGGUAACAGGAAGAAGCUUGCUUCUUUGCUGACGAGUGGCGGACGGGUGAGUAAUGUCUGGGAAACUGCCUGAUGGAGGGGGAUAACUACUGGAAACGGUAGCUAAUACCGCAUAACGUCGCAAGACCAAAGAGGGGGACCUUCGGGCCUCUUGCCAUCGGAUGUGCCCAGAUGGGAUUAGCUAGUAGGUGGGGUAACGGCUCACCUAGGCGACGAUCCCUAGCUGGUCUGAGAGGAUGACGAGCCACACUGGAACUGAGACACGGUCCAGAGUCCUACGGGAGGCAGAAGUGGGGAAUAUUGCACAAUGGGGGGAAGCCUGAUGCAGCCAUGCCGCGUGGAUGAAGAAGGCCUUCGGGUUGUAAAGUACUUUCAGCGGGGAGGAAGGGAGUAAAGUUAAUACCUUUACUCAUGGACGUUACCCGCAGAAGAAGCACCGGCUAACUCCGG